GAUGAACGCUGGCGGCGUGCCUAAUACAUGCAAGUCGAGCGAACAGACGAGGAGCUUGCUCCUCUGACGUUAGCGGCGGACGGGUGAGUAACACGUGUAUAACCUCCCUAUAAGACUGGGAUAAAUUCGGGAAACCGGAGCUAAUACCGGAUAUUAUAUUGAACCGCAUGGUUCAAUAGUGAAAGACGGUUUUGCUGUCACUUAUAGAUGGAUCCGCGCCGCAUUAGCUAGUUGGUAAGGUAACGGCUUACCAAGGCAACGAUGCGUAGCCGACCUGAUAGGGUGAUCGGCCACACAGGAACUGAGAAACGGUCAAGACUCCGAGGGGGGGCAGCAGUAGGGAAUCUUCGGCAAUGAGCAAAAGCCUGACGGGGCAACGCAGCGUGAGUGAUGAAGGUCUUCGGAUCGUAAAACUCUGUUAUUAGGGAAGAAUAAAUGUGUAAGUAACUAUGCACGUCUUGACGGUACCUAAUCAGAAAGCCACGGCUAACUACGUG
rnacentral:rRNA from 1 species